AGGUCUAGCUUAAGUGCUGCAUAUUUCAAGUUCCCCUAGAGUCCCUUUCACAUGUCCUUCCUCUUUAAAGGGAUGAGCUCUCUACAUCAGGAGACACACGAUGGCAAUUUGAGGUGUGGCCUGAGACAGCAGAAGUCGGAGCUCUGCAGGAAGUCCAGAUGGCAGUGUGCCCACUUCCCCAGCAUGAAGGGUCUCUGUCCAGCACAGGAGGAGGAAAGUGACAGCAAGCUGGAGGAAAAUGGGUACCACUUCAGAUGGAAUGCUGGGACAUUGCUCCACUUUGGAAAGUGGAUCUCCUGAGAACGGCAGUACCCAUGGACCACCUGUCCCAGGCCUCCACUAACAUGAAGAGGCAGAACUUGAGGUCAUACAUUUGGCCCAUUUCUCACUGGUAUUAGGCAGAGACAAUUUACAAACAAAUACUGAAGUAUUUAAUUAGAAUUCCAACAUAAUUUCUAUAAAUCGGCAUUCAGAAUACUUUGACUACUGGAGGAGAGAAAUCCAAACAAUAUGAGCUCUCAGGUUCUACCAGUUGCUUUUCUAAAGGUGACAGAUGUUUGCACUUCAUCUAUAGACUCAGCAAAAUCCAGUCUGAUGCUCAAACACAAGAUGUAACAACCAAUGGGUCCUAAACCUAGAAGACAUGGCAGAGGACAGGAAAGAUUCCUCCAGACCCUGAUCUUCUUCUUCCAGGACUUCCCACAAAGCCUCAGAGAUCCAUAAAGGGCUACAGGGAAGUAAUGGAGACUGGGUAUAUGGAACAGAACAAAAGCUCAGAAACAGGCCUAACUGAUUUUUUUUCACAGUCACCUAUGGAAAUCAAGGCAGAGAGAAUGGCUUGUCCACAAAUGACUGCAGAAGAAGAUUUAAAAAAACAAGCAAUAAGGAACCAAUUGAAAAACUGAACACAGUCACCAUUUCAAUUGACCUCAAAUACAAACACUGUAAUGCUCACAUAAAGUUAUAGAAGAGGACUACAUGAUUUCCUGCCUUAUAGAAAGGAGGAUCAGAAAUAACACGGAGAAGAUGAACUGUGGACUCAGGAUGCCUGCGGCCCCCAGACAUGAAAUACAGAGGCUGGAGCAUGGCUGGAGCAGACACUCCCCCAGGACGUCUAGAGAGAGCCUGGCCCCUGACACACCCUGGCAGACAACAAAUCCCUGACAGUGAAUGUUGUGUGGCUGUGAGGAGGUGGAGGUGUCGUGUGUGCUGUGUGGUGUGAGGAGGGCUGAAACCUAUCCCAUUGUUGGGAUGGAGAUGAGCUCUCCAGCUGAUCUGUUAACAGCACUGUGUGGAUGGUCCAGUCAGCUGGGGAAAGCAGCAGGUCUGACCCCUAGAUACUCACAUGUGCUACCCAUGCCCCUCCCCUGGUUAACAACUUACAUACAGGGUCAGUGUAAGGACAUGAAGGACGCCCCUCACCCACACUCACCACAGAGUUCUCUAGGUAUUAGGACUAGAUAUUCAACUCCCCUUAUGCUGUCCCACACACAGUGCUAGAUUCUAGACCAUGCUAGACAUGCCUCCAACCACAGUGUACUAAGACAUGGGGAAAGGUAUCAGGCCCUGUUGGACACUUGACCUCCAGACAAGGACACACAGUUACUGUAUGGCUCAAAGACUCCUGGAAUCUUCCUGCACUGAUGUACAACACUAGGUAUAAUGCAGCAUGGGACACUACAGCCAUGCCACCUCACUGGUACUACCAGCUGUCAGACCAUGAUAAACAACCUCUACAUCACACACGCACACACACACACACACACACACACACACACACACACACACACACACACACACAGAGAGAGAACUUCUAAUGUACUUCUAAGUACUGGACCAUGUGUGACUUCUCACCAAACUACACAUUGACUGCUAGCUAUCAGACAUUGUUAAAUAAACCCUCUCGCAUACCUCCCAUGUAUUCCUAGGUCUGGAUCCAGAAUGUAACCCACAUAAUCCUUUAUUAACAGCUACUUAUCAGGUCAUACAGGACACUCUCUUGCCACUGUAUGCAAAUACUCUGCUAGUAUUGGUCCCCAGUUGACACCCUAAUAUCACUGAAAUUCCACAUACACUGCUAGGGUUCAGGCCCUCCUGAAUAUCACACCACCACCACCACAAUCUACAGUGUUAGUAUCAGGGCCCAAAGGAUAUCACAUUUCAUCAACCCAUAUAUCCCUGUUGGAUUUCAGACCUGCUGGGCAUUUGAAACUCUAUGGCAACUCCUACAAGGCUAGCUAACGGCCCUGGAAUGCACACAUCGCCCUGCAGCUGCCCCACGUGCACUGCUAGGUGUCAGGCUCUGCUGGCUCCCUCAAUGCCACACACACACUCUGAAGUGUCAAGCACACUCGGACAUCACAUCGCACACUGCCAACCUACUUCAACAUGAAUGAUCAGACCUUGAUGGACAUCAGCUCAGCCAUAAUCUGACACAUACUCCGUAGGGAUUGUGCAGAGCUUGACACCCCGUUCUUCCACUGCUCCUCUCUGACAUACAGUUAGCAUCAAACAUACUGGACACAUCACCACCCCUAUGACCACACAUCCACUCUAGGUACCAGGUCCAGUUUGACUUCAUUCCCCACAUUAAUCGACAGCCAUCAGACCAUUCUGGGAACUUCUCCCCAUGUCAGGUCUUCCACAAUACUUAGAAAUUUGCACAUCUGGACACCCUCCUUCUGCUUAAGACACACCUACACUGCUAGGCAUCAGCUUCUACUGGACUCCUUCCUCUGCUAUACCAUGUGCUGGGUCUCAGGUUCUACUGCUGGUUACUGGGUCAUGCUGGACAUUAACUCCUGUCCAAACCACAGUGCAUAUAAAGUGCUGUGUGUCAGGUUCACUUGAACACCAGGCUCCAUCACGCAUGACAUGCUAGGUAUCCAACAAUGUUGACACACACCCUUACCAUCGAUAUACACAACUGGCCCAGUGAACACUACAAUUUUAAAGGCUCUGCUAACACCUCCAUCACUGACAUAUCAAGUUUCUUGCCAUUGUUCUCUUACUAACACUCUGUGCAGAUUUCAGUCAUGUAUAUUAAAGUAUGUUGUAUGCAUAUACAAUAAUUGGCUUCAAGCCUUACCCAAAAUAGCACCAUUCUGUUGACAACAUACACUACCAGACAGGGGCAUGGGUCUAAGCACGGCUGAAAAUUAGCAGUGCUUUUGCGGCAGCAGUAUGGGUGUAGGAAGAGAAACUUAUUAGAUGAGGCCUGUUAUCAUGCACAAUGUCUGGGUUAGGACUGGGGAGUCCUGAGGAUAUGAUACACAGUAGUGCAUCCAGGCCUCAGGUAGGUGUCCAGCAAAGCGUGAAACCAAGUAGUGUGUUUCAGGCUAUAGUGGCAGGGGUAGGAGUGUCCAGCAGGGCAGUGGUACAUGGGUAGGUUUGGAAGCAGGCCUGGGGGGCAGUAGCUAGUAAGGCCUGUUGUGUGGGCGGCCCCUGAUAGUGGGAUGAGUCUCUGUGGGAGAAGAGGGAGAUGCUCUGCUGUGUGUCUUAGGAACACAACAGUGUAUGUUGAGUGGCAGCAGUUGGGAGCUGUCUAGAUCCAUUAGGACAUGACACCUAGCAGUCUAUGUAGGAUACCAGGGGAGAUUCCUGCCAUGCCUGUUCAAUAGUAAUAUAUGUGGAGCAGUGCUAAAGAUAGAGAUGUUAUAGGGAAAAGUGUGUGUGUGUGUGUGUGUGUGUGUGUGUGUGUGUGUGUGUGUGUGUGUAAUAUGUGUGUGUGUGUGUGUGUGUGUGUGCACUUGUGCUGAACUUGUGGCAAUGGUCAAUGUGACAAUGCUGCAUUGUCAUGGAGAUAGCUGUCUUAGAGAAAACGAGUCAGUGACUAGGAAAAUAGAAGCCCAGGGUCAGUAUAUUAUUAGUGAAGUUGAUCAGAGAAAGUGUCUUCAAGUUAUAGACGAGAGAUUUUGGAGAAUAAGGGUAGAAAACAAGAAAUGUGAGACUUGAUGAAUACAGGCCUGGGGGAGGAAUUUGACUUUAUUUUUACUGUACCAAGAAGCCAAGUUUUCUCUUUGCCAACAACACUAGGUAUCAUCGUCUGUAAGGUGUCCCCACACUUAAAUUAAAACCACCUGCACAUUGCUAGGUGUCAGGUGCUACUGUGAAAAAUGUCUUCUACAGCAGGUGCCAAACACACAUGCCUAGGUGUGAGGUCCUGCUAGAUCAACUGUCCACUAAAAAAAAAUGCUCCUCUCAUACAGUUGGGAAGUCUGUCCUCCAAGAGAUCAACAACACGAUGGCUAAAGCCCCUGAACAGGGCUGGGUGUCUGGUCUUUCUAAGGAUGCCCUCACCUACAGCCGCAGAAGCCACAAACAGCUGCCCACAUAGUAUAACACAAGUGUCAGGGUCUAGUGUUUAUCUCUUCCCUUACAACCGCAUAGACACACAUGGUUAGGUCACAUUCCUGAUAGGAAUCCCCUCAGCUACAGCAGUGCCACACACCCAGAGCUAGGUGUCACAUCCUGCUGGGCACCUCUUCCCCUACAUCCAAAGGACCAUACAGUUACACAGCUAGUUUUCUAGUACUGGUACCCCUACCCUAUAGUCAAAUGCCAGGUACACAGUCACACAUUCACAAACACACUCAGGCACACAUGCUUGUAUGAUCCCAUGCACGUGCUCAUGCAGUCUCAUCUAGCUGUCAUGUCAACAAGGUCUCCCCCAUUCAGACAAAGCCCUAUUUACACAACCAUCAAAGUGCUGCCCUUCUGGGUGUCCAUCCCCUGCAGCCAAACACAUACACAGAGAGACAGAGAGACAGAGAGACAGAGACAAAGACAGGGAGAGACAGAGAUAGACAGAGACAGACAGAGAGACACAGAGUCCGAGGUCAGGUCCUGCUGUUCCCACUCCAUAACAGACAAAGCUGUCUACUCAGGGCUAGGUGUCAGGUCCUGAUACAUACCUCUUUUUCUGUAUUCACAGUGCAAUAUUCUUACACAGCUAGUUUACCAGUAUGCACUGCUCCCCUAUAAUUCAAAUGCUAAGUACACACUCACACACUCAGGAACACAUUCAGGCACACAUGCUCCUACAAAUGCCUUCACGAAUUCAAUGCACUCUCAGCUAGCUAUCAGGUCCUAGAAGACAACCACCAUACAAGGAAAGCCCCACAUACACUUCUAGGUGUUAAGUCCUGUGAGGUAGAGGUAUCACCCAUACAACAAACAAACACACAUCUCUAGGUGUUAGGUCCUGUGAGGUGUCCCACAUAGAGCCAAAGCCCUAUGUACACACAGCCAACAAGGUGCUUCUGCUGCUAGGUGUCCAUUACCUACAGCCAAUCUCUCUCUCUCUCUCUCUCUCUCUCUCUCUCUCCACUCUCUCCCCCUCCAUCCCCUCCCUCUGUCACAUACACACACAUGUAUAUAUGUACAUCUAAGCCCCUGUACUGUUAGGUAUACACAUGCCUAGAGCCAAAGACUCCCAAUACAUGCGAUUUGACUGGUCCUUCAGGGUUAUUGUCUCCAUUAUAGGCAAAGCCACCCCCUCAUCAACACACAAUACACACACACACAAACACACACACACACACACACACACACACACACACACACACACACACACACACACACACACACACACACUAGUGCAGUUACAUGGCAGGAUCUGUUGGAUUUACAGCUUCCUUAGAGCCAAAGCAUCUAAACAGGGCCAGGUGUCAGCUUCUGUUAGGUCCACCCUUCCCUACAGUCAAUAUUCCUCUUACACAGCUAGGUAUCAUGACUCCUAGAGAUCCACUGCCAUACAGUAAAGUCCCAUGCACAGGGUCAAGCGUCAAAUCCCGCUAGGAACCCCAGACAUGGGCAAACAUCCCAGGCACAGCUCUCAUAUUCAUAUAAGGUGUCAUGCUCAGGUAUUUGUCUCUAGCCUUACAACCAAAGUUCCACAUACAAACAUGGUUAGGUUUUAGGAUCUGCUAGGUACCUUUCUCCCCACAGUAAAACAACAGGUUAACACAAACAUACAAACACACCAACACAAGCAUGCACACAUGCACAUAUACAAUCAUGCAUGCAGGCCUGUAGGAACCCUCCCCAGGUUGUGAGUCUCAGGAGUUUUUCCCCUAGCCCCAUGAAUGGAGCUAUGGACUUAGGGGAAGGCUAGGACUUGGCACCUACCUCUGGGUGUGUGGCAUUGUUGUAGAACUGGGGUCUUCCUUUCAGGACCUGACAAGUUGUCAUGUAUGUUUAUGGCUUUGGCUGUAAGGGUGAGACUACAAUGCUACCCUUGACACCUAGCCCUGUGAGGAGAGCUAGGGCUUAAAAUAGAAAGAAGUCCGUCAGGACUUGACUGUGUGUGUGUGUGUG